AGUGGCGCAGCUUGGUAGCGCACCUGGUUUGGGUCCAGGGGGUCGUAGGUUCGAAUCCUAUCU
rnacentral:tRNA from 1 species